rnacentral:rRNA from 1 species
AUCUGUAACUGGUCUGAGAGGAUGAUCAGUCACACCGGAACUGAGACACGGUCCGGACUCCUACGGGAGGCAGCAGUGGGGAAUAUUGGACAAUGGGGGCAACCCUGAUCCAGCCAUGCCGCGUGUGUGAAGAAGGCCUUUUGGUUGUAAAGCACUUUAAGCAGGGAGGAGAGGCUAAUGGUUAAUACCCAUUAGAUUAGACGUUACCUGCAGAAUAAGCACCGGCUAACUCUGUGCCAGCAGCCGCGGUAAUACAGAGGGUGCGAGCGUUAAUCGGAAUUACUGGGCGUAAAGCGAGUGUAGGUGGCUCAUUAAGUCACAUGUGAAAUCCCCGGGCUUAACCUGGGAACUGCAUGUGAUACUGGUGGUGCUAGAAUAUGUGAGAGGGAAGUAGAAUUCCAGGUGUAGCGGUGAAAUGCGUAGAGAUCUGGAGGAAUACCGAUGGCGAAGGCAGCUUCCUGGCAUAAUAUUGACACUGAGAUUCGAAAGCGUGGGUAGCAA